rnacentral:rRNA from 1 species
AUUGAACGCUGGCGGCAGGCCUAACACAUGCAAGUCGAGCGGAUGAGAGGAGCUUGCUCCUCGAUUCAGCGGCGGACGGGUGAGUAAUGCCUAGGAAUCUGCCCAGUAGUGGGGGACAACGUUUCGAAAGGAACGCUAAUACCGCAUACGUCCUACGGGAGAAAGUGGGGGAUCUUCGGACCUCAAGCUAUUGGAUGAGACUAGGUCGGAUUAGCUAGUUGGUAGGGUAAAGGCCUACCAAGGCGACGAUCCGUAACUGGUCUGAGAGGAUGAUCAGUCACACUGGAACUGAGACACGGUCCAGACUCCUACGGGAGGCAGCAGUGGGGAAUAUUGGAAAAUGGGCGCAAGCCUGAUCCAGCCAUGCCGCGUGUGUGAAGAAGGCCCUCGGGUCGUAAAGCACUUUAAGUUGGGAGGAAGGGCUUACAGCGAAUACCUGUGAGUUUUGACGUUACCGACAGAAUAAGCACCGGCUAACUUCGUGCCAGCCGCCGCAGUAA